rnacentral:misc_RNA from 1 species
GUUUAUUUCACAAUGAGGUUGCAACUCUGGCUCCUAGUGUAUCGGCAAUGCAAGAGCUACAUUUUGAAGUAUUGAUGGUUCGAGCCAUUUUUUGUACAUUAAAUAAGCGCCAUGAUUCUGCUAUGGUAUUGAUACUUCUGAUGCAUUCGGAAACAGAGGUCAUAUUUGUGUAUCAGAAAUUGCUCGAAAUUUCUCAAGGAGCAUUAGCUCUCCUGGCUGGAAAGAAACACAAUCUGCCUCGUCUUGCUGAUCUUUCAAACUGAUGAAUUCCGUGUUGUUGAACACUAAAACCCUCGUGAUCACGAUUAUGAAAGUCUCCUCGGAAGUGGGAAUAGAAGUUUUUCUAUAAGAUGGUCGAGAACAUAAUUUGAUACUAUUAUUAUUAACUAUACUUAAUGUACAACAUUGCGACACAAAGGAGUUGUUUACAGAAACAAAGGUGCGUAUCUCAAUACCAUUGCCACUUAUUUUCUUCACAAGAUGAGUUUUCU